GUAGGUGGCAAGCGUUGUCCGGAAUUAUUGGGCGUAAAGCGCGCGCAGGCGGUUCUUUAAGUCUGAUGUGAAAGCCCACGGCUCAACCGUGGAGGGUCAUUGGAAACUGGAGAGCUUGAGUACAGAAGAGGAAAGCGGAAUUCCACGUGUAGCGGUGAAAUGCGUAGAGAUGUGGAGGAACACCAGUGGCGAAGGCGGCUUUCUGGUCUGUAACUGACGCUGAGGCGCGAAAGCGUGGGGGGAGCAAACAGGAUUAGAUACCCUGGUAGUCCACGCCGUAAACGAUGAGUGCUAAGCGUUAGGGGGUUUCCGCCCCCCCCUUAGUGCUGCAGCUAACGCAUUAAGCACUCCGCCUGGGAGUACGGCCGCAAGGCUG
rnacentral:rRNA from 1 species